AUUGAACGCUGGCGGCAGGCCUAACACAUGCAAGUCGAACGAGUGGCGGACGGGUGAGAAAUGUCUGGGAAACUGCCUGAUGGAGGGGGAUAACUACUGGAAACGGUAGCUAAUACCGCAUACCAUCGGAUGUGCCCAGAUGGGAUUAGCUAGUAGGUGGGGUAACGGCGCACCUAGGCGACGAUCCCUAGCUGGUCUGAGAGGAUGACCAGCCACACUGGAACGGAGACACGGGCCAGACUCCUACGCGAGGCAGCAGUGGGGAAGAUUGGACUAUGGGCGCAAGGCUGAUACAGCCAUGCCGCGUGUAUGAAGAAGGCCUUCGGGUUUUAAAGUACUUUCCGCGGUGAGGCGUUACCCGCAGAAGAAGCACCGGCUAACUCCGUGCCAGCAGCCGCGGUAAUAC
rnacentral:rRNA from 1 species